rnacentral:rRNA from 1 species
AACGAACGCUGGCGGCAUGCCUAACACAUGCAAGUCGAACGAGACCUUCGGGUCUAGUGGCGCACGGGUGCGUAACGCGUGGGAAUCUGCCCUUGGGUUCGGAAUAACAGUGAGAAAUUACUGCUAAUACCGGAUGAUGUCUUCGGACCAAAGAUUUAUCGCCCAGGGAUGAGCCCGCGUAGGAUUAGGUAGUUGGUGGGGUAAUGGCCUACCAAGCCGACGAUCCUUAGCUGGUCUGAGAGGAUGAUCAGCCACACUGGGACUGAGACACGGCCCAGACUCCUACGGGAGGCAGCAGUGGGGAAUAUUGGACAAUGGGCGAAAGCCUGAUCCAGCAAUGCCGCGUGAGUGAUGAAGGCCUUAGGGUCGUAAAGCUCUUUUACCAGGGAUGAUAAUGACAGUACCUGGAGAAUAGGCUCCGGCUAACUCCGUGCCAGCCGCCGCCGUAAAAC